GCCGGUGUGACAGAUCAACUGGGGAGGAGAUUAACUGAUUAGAACGAUGUGGUAAAGAACUUGUAUCCUCAGCAAAGCAGAUAGUGCAAAGAAUCCCACACAGAGAACAGCGUCGUUCACAAGUGUAAAGAAAAAAUACAAAUAAAAGUCUGUCUCACA